CAAACUUGUGCACAGAUGUAUUGGUAAGGCUAACGACAGGGAUAUCUGUGUGGUGCAUUUGGCAGAGGUACACACUGUACGUGAGGUUUUUAGUCAGGUGUGUGAGGCACCGAUGUAUAAAACAUGUAACAAACUUGAGGUUCUGUGCACAGAUGUGUUAGUAAGGCUAACGACAGGGAUAUCUGUGUCGUGCAUUUGGCAGAGGUACACACUGUACGUGAGGUUUUUAGUCAGGUGUGUGAGGCACCGAUGUAUAAAACAUGUAACAAACUUGAGGUUCUGUGCACAGAUGUGUUAGUAAGGCUAACGACAGGGAUAUCUGUGUCGUGCAUUUGGCAGAGGUACACACUGUACGUGAGGUUUUUAGUCAGUUGUGUGAGGCACUGAUGUGUAAAACAUGUGACAAACUUGAGGUUCUUUACA